UUGGAGGGCAAGUCUGGUGCCAGCAGCCGCGGUAAUUCCAGCUCCAAUAGCGUAUAUUAAAGUUGUUGCAGUUAAAAAGCUCGUAGUUGAAUUUCGGGGUUAGUAGGUUGGUCAUGCCUCUGGUAUGUACUGGUCUCACUGAUUCCUCCUUCCUGAUGAGCCGUAAUGCCAUUAAUUUGGUGUUGCGGGGAAUUUGGACUGUUACUUUGAAAAAAUUAGAGUGUUUAAAGCAAGCUAACGCUUGAAUACAUUAGCACGGAAUAAUGAAAUAGGACGUUCGAUCCUAUUUUGUUGGUUUCUAGGAUUGACGUAAUGAUUAAUAGGGAUAGUUGGGGGCAUUAGUAUUCAAUUGUCAGAGGUGAAAUUCUUGGAUUUAUUGAUGACUAACUACUGCGAAAGCAUUUGCCAAGGAUGUUUUCAUUAAUCAAGAACGAAAGUUAGGGGAUCGAAGACGAUCAGAUACCGUCGUAGUCUUAACCAUAAACUAUGCCGACUAGGGAUCGGAUGAUGUUAAUUUUUUAAUGACUCAUUCGGCGCCUUACGGGAAACCAAAGUGUUUGGGUUC
rnacentral:rRNA from 1 species